rnacentral:rRNA from 1 species
GAUGAACGCUGGCGGCAUGCCUAAGACAUGCAAGUCGAACGAGAAGGCCCAAUGAUGAUUGCGUGCUUGCACAAAAUCUGAUUUGGAAUUUCCUUCUAGUGGCAAACGGGUGAGUAACACGUGGGUAACCUACCUCUAAGACGGGGAUAACAGUUGGAAACGACUGCUAAUACCGCAUAAGCGCACAGAGCUGCAUGGCUCAGUGUGAAAAACUUUAGUGGUACAAGAUGGACCCGCGUCUGAUUAGCUAGUUGGCGAGGUAACGGCCCACCAAGGCGACGAUCAGUAGCCGGCCUGAGAGGGUGAACGGCCACAUUGGGACUGAGACACGGCCCAAAACUCCCUACGGGAGGCAGCAGUGGGGAAUAUUGCACAAUGGGGGAAACCCUGAUGCAGCGACGCCGCGUGAGUGAAGAAGUAUUUCGGUAUGUAAAGCUCUAUCAGCAGGGAAGAAAAUGACGGUACCUGACUAAGAAGCCCCGGCUAACUAC